UACGUAGAGGGCAAGCGUUAUCCGGAUUUACUGGGUGUAAAGGGAGCGUAGGCGGCUGGGCAAGUCAGAAGUGAAAGCCCGGGGCUCAACCCCGGGACUGCUUUUGAAACUGUCCGGCUAGAGUGUCGGAGGGGUAGGCGGAAUUCCUAGUGUAGCGGUGAAAUGCGUAGAUAUUAGGAGGAACACCAGUGGCGAAGGCGGCCUACUGGACGAUGACUGACGCUGAGGCUCGAAAGCGUGGGGAGCAAACAGG
rnacentral:rRNA from 1 species